AUUAGGCAAAUCCGGUACUCGUUAAGGCUGAGCUGUGAUGGGGAGAAGACAUUGUGUCUUCGAGUCGUUGAUUUCACACUGCCGAGAAAAGCCUCUAGAUAGAAAAUAGGUGCCCGUACCGCAAACCGACACAGGUAGUCAAGAUGAGAAUUCUAAGGUGAGCGAGCGAACUCUCGUUAAGGAACUCGGCAAAAUGACCCCGUAACUUCGGGAGAAGGGGUGCUCUUUAGGGUUAACGCCCAGAAGAGCCGCAGUGAAUAGGCCCAAGCGACUGUUUAUCAAAAACACAGGUCUCUGCUAAACCGUAAGGUGAUGUAUAGGGGCUGACGCCUGCCCGGUGCUGGAAGGUUAAGAGGAGUGGUUAGCUUCUGCGAAGCUACGAAUCGAAGCCCCAGUAAACGGCGGCCGUAACUAUAACGGUCCUAAGGUAGCGAAAUUCCUUGUCGGGUAAGUUCCGACCCGCACGAAAGGCGUAACGAUUUGGGCACUGUCUCAACGAGAGACUCGGUGAAAUCAUAGUACCUGUGAAGAUGCAGGUUACCCGCGACAGGACGGAAAGACCCCGUGGAGCUUUACUGUAGCCUGAUAUUGAAAUUCGGCACAGCUUGUACAGGAUAGGUAGGAGCCUUUGAAACGUGAGCGCUAGCUUACGUGGAGGCGCUGGUGGGAUACUACCCUAGCUGUGUUGGCUUUCUAACCCGCACCACUUAUCGUGGUGGGAGACAGUGUCAGGCGGGCAGUUUGACUGGGGCGG
rnacentral:rRNA from 1 species